rnacentral:rRNA from 1 species
GUUGCCAGCAUUCAGUUGGGCACUCUAGAGGGACUGCCGGUGUCAAACCGGAGGAAGGUGGGAUGACGUCAAGUCCUCAUGGCCUUUAUGUCUAGGGCUACACACGUACUACAAUGGCCGGUACAAAGGGCAGCCACUCAGCGAUGAGGCGCUAAUCCCAUAAAGCCGGUCUCAGUCCGGAUCGCAGUCUGCAACUCGACUGCGUGAAGUUGGAAUCGCUAGUAAUCGUAGAUCAGCAUGCUACGGUGAAUACGUUCCCGGGCCUU